AUGUUGCCAUUAUUUGGGCUUGGUCUGUGUAUGCCAAGUCUAGCUCUAGUGUGUCAUCCUAGGCACUCGUGUAAAAAAAAAAAAAAAAAAAAAAAAAAAAAAACUGGGCAACCAGUAAUUGCUGUUGAUUAAUUUUUAUUUAAAGACACAUUGUUCUUAUCAUCUUCCCCAUUUAACCGUCCAAACGAGCUCUAAUCUCCGAAAUUAACAAGAAUCAUGCACGAUUAACUGUAAUUAUGUUAGGGCUUAUGUAGUUUAGGUCUAGAUGAAAAAGGCAUACAAGAAUCAAACCUGGAAGAGCUCGGAUUGAAUGACAAGAGGGUUGGUCAGAGAAUAAAGUUUUCCGGCGAGGCAAAAGAGGUCACAUAGACGAUUUGAAUAUAACUGUAAGUUAUGGCGACGAGUUAAAACAGGUAUACGGUCCCUAUUAAUACUAAUCUAGUCGGUUAACGUAUCAUCAGAAUCUUAAUGGAGAUUUGCGGGUUGUUGUGAGUUCCGGAUAAACAUCAAAUCGAACGAUUCAUGGGAUAAUGCUUGUAGUUGGUUAGGAUAAUGAUGGAGAUAAGAGAUAAUGCAAGAAUAACGGACGAAUUACUAGCGGGUUAAGGACUUCCGGGUCGCCGGUCGGAACUUCGAAGAGCAGAUAAGGAAACCGCAGGUCACAUAAACGUAAACUUUUGGAGAAAGCCGACUGACUAUCAAAGAUCUUGUACAUCUGGAAACAAGCCAUAUUUGUGCACAAAUGAAGGAGUUUCAUAGUUUUCAAGCAGUGGUAAUCCGGGAACCGAAACGACUGAGUCUGUCAAUGGGACAGUGAGAAGCUUUCUAUUGACAUGAUAAUAGAUGCUAUUCACAGCACAAGUUUGAGUAAAGAAGGCAACUCCCAUCAACCUGAAUCUUUUCGCGACAUCAAGGGCCCAUGGCAAAAAACCGUCAUAAAUAAUGACAUUGGGACGAUCUAGUUGUAGAACAAGGUCAGAUAAUGAUUUUGGUCCCACUUCCCGAAGCUUUGGAAAGAAAACUUCUGGCGGCACGAUUUCAUCCGGGCCAUUGUCAUCAA
rnacentral:lncRNA from 1 species